AGCAGUCGCCACGGUAAUACGAAGGGGGCGAGCGUUGCUCGGAAUGACUGGGCGUAAAGGGCGCGUAGGCGGCGCGCACAGUCAGGCGUGAAAUACCUGGGCUCAACCUGGGUGCUGCGCUUGAUACGUGCGAGCUAGAGUUCGGAAGAGGGUCGUGGAAUUCCCAGUGUAGAGGUGAAAUUCGUAGAUAUUGGGAAGAACACCGGUGGCGAAGGCGGCGACCUGGUCCGGGACUGACGCUGAGGCGCGAAAGCGUGGGGAGCAAACAGGAUUAGAUACCCCGGUAGUCCCUGUCUCUUAUAC
rnacentral:rRNA from 1 species